AUUGAACGCUGGCGGCAGGCCUAACACAUGCAAGUCGAACGGUAACAGGAAGAAGCUUGCUUCUUUGCUGACGAGUGGCGGACGGGUGAGUAAUGUCUGGGAAACUGCUUGAUGGAGGGGGUUAACUACUGGAAACGGUAGCUAAUACCGCAUAACGUCUCAAGACCAAAGAGGGGGACCUUCGGGCGUCUUGCCAGCGGAUGUGCCCGGAUUGGAUUAGCUAGUAGGUGGGGUAACGGCUCACCUAGGCGACGAUCCCUAGCGGGUCUGAGAGGGUGACCAGCCACACUGGAACUGAGACACGGUCCAGACUCCUGCGGGAGGCAGCAGUGGGGAAUAUUGCGCAAUGGGCGCAAGCCUGAUGCAGCCAUGCCGCGUGUAUGAAGAAGGCCUUCGGGUUGUAAAGUACUUUCAGCGGGGAAGAAGGGAUUAAAGUUAAUACCUUUGCUCAUUGACGUUACCCGCAGAAGAAGCACCGGCUAACUCCGUG
rnacentral:rRNA from 1 species